rnacentral:sRNA from 3 species
ACUCAACGUUAAUUCUUUAAAAAGGGUGAGUUUAAGCUGUAAAAGCAUGCUGCUAAUACUACGUAUUUGGGCAGAUCCUUGAUCAGUUUGUUAGCCCUAAACUUGUUUUUAAGGAGUUU